CAGUCGCCGCGGGAAUACGUAGGUCCCGAGCGUUGUCCGGAUUUAUUGGGCGUAAAGCGAGCGCAGGCGGUUAGAUAAGUCUGAAGUUAAAGGCUGUGGCUUAACCAUAGUACGCUUUGGAAACUGUUUAACUUGAGUGCAGAAGGGGAGAGUGGAAUUCCAUGUGUAGCGGUGAAAUGCGUAGAUAUAUGGAGGAACACCGGUGGCGAAAGCGGCUCUCUGGUCUGUAACUGACGCUGAGGCUCGAAAGCGUGGGGAGCAAACAGGAUUAGAUACCCCAGUAGUCCCUGUCUCUUAUACA
rnacentral:rRNA from 1 species